ACUCCUCGGGAGGCAGCAGUGGGGAAUAUUGCGCAAUGGGCGAAAGCCUGACGCAGCGACGCCGCGUGAGGGAUGACGGCCUUCGGGUUGUAAACCUCUUUCAGUAGGGACGAAGCGAAAGUGACGGUACCUACAGAAGAAGCACCGGCCAACUACGUGCCAGCAGCCGCGGUAAUACGUAGGGUGCAAGCGUUGUCCGGAAUUAUUGGGCGUAAAGAGCUCGUAGGCGGUCUGUCGCGUCGGCUGUGAAAACCCGAGGCUCAACCUCGGGCCUGCAGUCGAUACGGGCAAACUAGAGUACUGCAGGGGAGACUGGAAUUCCUGGUGUAGCGGUGAAAUGCGCAGAUAUCAGGAGGAACACCGGUGGCGAAGGCGGGUCUCUGGGCAGUAACUGACGCUGAGGAGCGAAAGCGUGGGGAGCGAACAGGAUUAGAUACCCUGGUAGUCCACGCCGUAAACGUUGGGCGCUAGGCGUGGGGGCCAUUCCACGGUCUCCGUGCCGCAGCUAACGUAUUAAGCGCCCCGCCUGGGGAGUACGGCCGCAAGGCUAAAGCUCAAAGGAAUUGACGGGGGCCCGCACAAGCGGCGGGAGCAUGUUGCUUAAUUCGAUGCGACGCGAAGAACCUUACCUAGGCUUGACAUGCACGGAAAUCUGCCANAGAUGGCANGUCCUUUAAGGGUCGUGCACANGUGGUGCAUGGUUGUCGUCAGCUCGUGUCGUGAGAUGUUGGGUUAAGUCCCGCAACCGAGCGCAACCCUCGUUUCUANGAUGGCCAG
rnacentral:rRNA from 1 species